rnacentral:rRNA from 1 species
AUUGAACGCUGGCGGCAUGCCUUACACAUGCAAGUCGAACGGUAACAGGUCUUCGGAUGCUGACGAGUGGCGAACGGGUGAGUAAUACAUCGGAACGUGCCCGAUCGUGGGGGAUAACGAAGCGAAAGCUUUGCUAAUACCGCAUAAGAUCUACGGAUAAAAGCAGGGGACCGCAAGGCCUUGCGCGAACGGAGCGGCCGAUGGCAGAUUAGGUAGUUGGUGGGAUAAAAGCUUACCAAGCCGACGAUCUGUAGCUGGUCUGAGAGGAAGACCAGCCACACUGGGACUGAGACACGGCCCAGACUCCUACGGGAGGCAGCAGUGGGGAAUUUUGGACAAUGGGCGAAAGCCUGAUCCAGCCAUGCCGCGUGCAGGAUGAAGGCCUUCGGGUUGUAAACUGCUUUUGUACGGAACGAAAAGACUCUGGUUAAUACCUGGGGUCCAUGACGGUACCGUAAGAAUAAGCACCGGCUAACUACGUGCCAGCAGCCGCAGUAACAC